UCUCUCUCGCUCUUCUCUCCAUGAGUGUGAUUGUGUGUAGGAGGGUGCUUGUAUGUGUGUUAUUAUCUAGGAUUUGGGUCAUAGUCCAUACACAGAUGGUUUGCCAGUGGAUUACAACAAAGCCCAAAUGGCUGAAGGGUGAGUGGGAAUGGAAAAAUGUAGAGAAACAGAUGAGUUGAUUGGCAGAUGUCAGCAAAGUCCCUUUCGUUUUUCCAGACCUGCCUGGUCCAUCCUGAUGCCCUACUUCUGGAUCGAGUUCUGUUCAGUUGGCUGCUGAGGAUGGUUCCAAAUGAACAGCAUAAAUAGUCUUACAUUCUACCUGCAGGUACUGAGGAAACAUUUGCAGGUGAUGAUGAUAUCAAGUGUUCCAGGUUGGCAGAACAUACGGCACAAGCAUAGAAAAUCUGCACUCUGGGAAUGAAGCAAGAUACAACAAAUGCUCUGUCCAUAUGCUUAGCCAAGCAUUAGGAUUUCCCCUCUCUCUCUCUCUCUCUCUCUCUCUCUCUUUCACAUUCACUCAUUUUUCACUACACAGAUUCCCCUGGACUGGAAACUCCAACCACAUUUCUAAUGUUUACAAGCAGACAAGUGGACCUGGUGCUUGCAUGUGCCAGUGGACCUACAAAUACAAAAUCUGUAUUCUUCAAAAUAUAUAUAAAAUAGCAACUAAAAAUGUAGAACAUUCUAUAACAUAAUUCUAUAGUCAUUCUCUCACCAGCCUCUUUGCAUCUGUCUCUCUUUUUUUUUUUUUUUUUUGUACUUUUUUUUACUAAUAAGACAUAAAACCCACAGCUUAUCAUGUUACUGAUAAUGGAAACUCCUUGCUAAAUGCUAAAUAAAUAAAUAUUUGCUUACAGAAAGCUUCAUAAUGUCAACAAUUAUAUAUUUUUAAAUAAUGACAGAAUGUUAGCUGUUCUGUUGUAAAAAAAAUAUUAAUCUGCAACUUCUGACUAAUCAAAUUCAAGAACUCAUAAGAAAUGUGGUAUUUAAUGUGCAGUCAGACAUGUAAUUUUUGCAUCAAACAGGCUACACACCAAACAGUUGAACAAGGAACCUGUAUCUAGUACAGACAUCCUUGCAGGAAAUGAGCCAGCUAAACAUAGGACAUGGAAGACUUUUAAAUGGUGUACAUACUGUUUUCUGAAUACUUAUCUGAUUUGCUGAAGUUAAAUUGAUAUGAAUGCUGUUAUAACCGUGAGGCUCAGAAAAGCAUGGAUUACAGCCAACAAUUUUUUGUUUUGUUGAUGCAAAAGUUGUAAUGUAUUGCACCUUUACACCCAGACUACAAAAACGAAACAUCUGUGAUUAAACUGGGUGAAAAUGACCCAAAACACAUAGGUGUCUACCACUCACAAACCAAAAUCUUCAAAAAUUACAGAAAGAUAAUGCUGAAAGUGAUAAAAGAAAAAGAAAGACUGCAAAAGUAUCUCCUGCACAAAAACUGUCAACUGUCUCUUUCAUACCUGACCAAAA